rnacentral:rRNA from 1 species
UUAGAGUUUGAUCCUGGCUCAGAACGAACGCUGGCGGCAGGCCUAACACAUGCAAGUCGAACGGUAGCACAGAGAGCUUGCUCUCGGGUGACGAGUGGCGGACGGGUGAGUAAUGUCUGGGAAACUGCCUGAUGGAGGGGGAUAACUACUGGAAACGGUAGCUAAUACCGCAUAACGUCGCAAGACCAAAGAGGGGGACCUUCGGGCCUCUUGCCAUCAGAUGUGCCCAGAUGGGAUUAGCUAGUAGGUGGGGUAAUGGCUCACCUAGGCGACGAUCCCUAGCUGGUCUGAGAGGAUGACCAGCCACACUGGAACUGAGACACGGUCCAGACUCCUACGGGAGGCAGCAGUGGGGAAUAUUGCACAAUGGGCGCAAGCCUGAUGCAGCCAUGCCGCGUGUAUGAAGAAGGCCUUCGGGUUGUAAAGUACUUUCAGCGGGGAGGAAGGUGUUGCGGUUAAUAACCGCAGCAAUUGACGUUACCCGCAGAAGAAGCACCGGCUAACUCCGUGCCAGCAGCCGCGGUAAUACGGAGGGUGCAAGCGUUAAUCGGAAUUACUGGGCGUAAAGCGCACGCAGGCGGUCUGUCAAGUCGGAUGUGAAAUCCCCGGGCUCAACCUGGGAACUGCAUUCGAAACUGGCAGGCUAGAGUCUUGUAGAGGGGGGUAGAAUUCCAGGUGUAGCGGUGAAAUGCGUAGAGAUCUGGAGGAAUACCGGUGGCGAAGGCGGCCCCCUGGACAAAGACUGACGCUCAGGUGCGAAAGCGUGGGGAGCAAACAGGAUUAGAUACCCUGGUAGUCCACGCCGUAAACGAUGUCGACUUGGAGGUUGUUCCCUUGAGGAGUGGCUUCCGGAGCUAACGCGUUAAGUCGACCGCCUGGGGAGUACGGCCGCAAGGUUAAAACUCAAAUGAAUUGACGGGGGCCCGCACAAGCGGUGGAGCAUGUGGUUUAAUUCGAUGCAACGCGAAGAACCUUACCUACUCUUGACAUCCAGAGAACUUAGCAGAGAUGCUUUGGUGCCUUCGGGAACUCUGAGACAGGUGCUGCAUGGCUGUCGUCAGCUCGUGUUGUGAAAUGUUGGGUUAAGUCCCGCAACGAGCGCAACCCUUAUCCUUUGUUGCCAGCGGUCCGGCCGGGAACUCAAAGGAGACUGCCAGUGAUAAACUGGAGGAAGGUGGGGAUGACGUUAAGUCAUCAUGGCCCUUACGAGUAGGGCUACACACGUGCUACAAUGGCGCAUACAAAGAGAAGCGACCUCGCGAGAGCAAGCGGACCUCAUAAAGUGCGUCGUAGUCCGGAUUGGAGUCUGCAACUCGACUCCAUGAAGUCGGAAUCGCUAGUAAUCGUAGAUCAGAAUGCUACGGUGAAUACGUUCCCGGGCCUUGUACACACCGCCCGUCACACCAUGGGAGUGGGUUGCAAAAGAAGUAGGUAGCUUAACCUUCGGGAGGGCGCUUACCACUUUGUGAUUCAUGACUGGGGUGAAGUCGUAACAAGGUAGCCGUA